rnacentral:rRNA from 1 species
AGACCCGAAACCCGGUGAUCUAGCCAUGGGCAGGUUGAAGGUUGGGUAACACUAACUGGAGGACCGAACCGACUAAUGUUGAAAAAUUAGCGGAUGACCUGUGGCUGGGGGUGAAAGGCCAAUCAAACCGGGAGAUAGCUGGUUCUCCCCGAAAGCUAUUUAGGUAGCGCCUCGUGAAUUCAUCUCCGGGGGUAGAGCACUGUUUCGGCUAGGGGGCCAUCCCGGCUUACCAACCCGAUGCAAACUGCGAAUACCGGAGAAUGUUAUCACGGGAGACACACGGCGGGUGCUAACGUCCGUCGUGAAGAGGGAAACAACCCAGACCGCCAGCUAAGGUCCCAAAGUCAUGGUUAAGUGGGAAACGAUGUGGGAAGGCCCAGACAGCCAGGAUGUUGGCUUAGAAGCAGCCAUCAUUUAAAGAAAGCGUAAUAGCUCACUGGUCGAGUCGGCCUGCGCGGAAGAUGUAACGGGGCUAAACCAUGCACCGAAGCUGCGGCAGCGAACGUAUCACCCAAGACAACUUUACGGAGUUGACGAUUGACGGAGCGAAGCGACGUCAAAGCGUUCAUUAAAGUCGAGUUGGCUUAGGGAUACGUUCGUUGGGUAGGGGAGCGUUCUGUAAGCCUGUGAAGGUGUGUCGUGAGGCAUGCUGGAGGUAUCAGAAGUGCGAAUGCUGACAUAAGUAACGAUAAAGCGGGUGAAAAGCCCGCUCGCCGGAAGACCAAGGGUUCCUGUCCAACGUUAAUCGGGGCAGGGUGAGUCGACCCCUAAGGCGAGGCCGAAAGGCGUAGUCGAUGGGAAACGGGUUAAUAUUCCCGUACUUGGUGUUACUGCGAAGGGGGGACGGAGAAGGCUAUGUUGGCCGGGCGACGGUUGUCCCGGUUUAAGCGUGUAGGUGUGUGUUCCAGGUAAAUCCGGUUCACUUUAACACUGAGGCGUGAUGACGAGGCACUACGGUGCUGAAGCAACAAAUGCCC